GACGAAAGUCUGACGGAGCAACGCCGCGUGAGUGAUGAAGGUUUUCGGAUCGUAAAACUCUGUUGUUAGGGAAGAACAAGUACCGUUCGAAUAGGGCGGUACCUUGACGGUACCUAACCAGAAAGCCACGGCUAACUACGUGCCAGCAGCCGCGGUAAUACGUAGGUGGCAAGCGUUGUCCGGAAUCAUUGGGCGUAAAGCGCGCGCAGGUGGUUCCUUAAGUCUGAUGUGAAAGCCCCCGGCUCAACCGGGGAGGGUCAUUGGAAACUGGGGAACUUGAGUGCAGAAGAGGAAAGUGGAAUUCCACGUGUAGCGGUGAAAUGCGUAGAGAUGUGGAGGAACACCAGUGGCGAAGGCGACUUUCUGGUCUGUAACUGACACUGAGGCGCGAAAGCGUGGGGAGCGAACAGGAUUAGAUACCCUGGUAGUCCACGCCGUAAACGAUGAGUGCUAAGUGUUAGGGGGUUUCCGCCCCUUAGUGCUGCAGCAAACGCAUUAAGCACUCCGCCUGGGGAGUACGG
rnacentral:rRNA from 1 species